AGAAAUCGGUCGGCUUUCGUUACUCUAUCUAAAGUUAUGAUGCGAUGUCAGUAAGCUCUAAUAUAAGAGGACGAUAAUGGAAAAAAAAUCCCAUAAAAAGCGGGACAACUGAUCCAAUUUGGACAGAUUGAAAGCCAACGCGACUCGCGUUAGAUAGAGUAAAUAGCGAGAAACGCUAAAUGCAUUUUCUUUUAUGGUGUUUGCUUUGUCUACUGAAGCAAAAGGCUAUUUAUUCAAAUCAGUGGUAAUUAGUGUAUAGCUUGUAAAGGUAAGUUAGUCCUUUUGAAAGUUUGAAAAAGAUGAUAGAUAAAAAACAACGUUGUAUCCAUCCCGAAAAACAUGGACAAGUCAAAGAAAUCACAUUUUUUAUUUGCCUUCAUUAGUGUAGUAAUCUCCACCUUGCUGUAUAAUUCGGUAAGGAUUUCUUUUGUUAUUUACGCGUGCUUUUUUCCAUACAUCUUUUUUCGCCAAUGCAAAACCCUCUUUUAACAGUGUUUCUUCUUUCAACCCUUAUUCAGCGCAUGCGUCUCCUAUAUUUGCGCGUUUUACACAGAGGUCGUUUGACAUCCAGAUUGUUCUCUGGCAUGAAAGAUAACUACAUCAUUUAAUAUUAGCAACUUGCUCACUUUCUUUUCUUUUCACAUAAACUAUAAAGCUGUUCGGCAAUUAAAAUUCCCCACUGAAAUCCAAUUAGCCAACGAUCAAACUAGAUCGCAUUUAUUGAGUGAUUUGAAAACAAUGCUUUAUGCGCAAAAGUGGAGAAGGUAAAUGUAGACAACCUCACGUUUUUGUUUAUAAACAUUAGUAAACGC